rnacentral:rRNA from 1 species
CAGGGAAACCGAGUCUUAACCGGGCGUUAAGUUGCAGGGUAUAGACCCGAAACCCGGUGAUCUAGCCAUGGGCAGGUUGAAGGUUGGGUAACACUAACUGGAGGACCGAACCGACUAAUGUUGAAAAAUUAGCGGAUGACCUGUGGCUGGGGGUGAAAGGCCAAUCAAACCGGGAGAUAGCUGGUUCUCCCCGAAAGCUAUUUAGGUAGCGCCUCGUGAACUCAUCUUCGGGGGUAGAGCACUGUUUCGGCUAGGGGGUCAUCCCGACUUACCAACCCGAUGCAAACUGCGAAUACCGGAGAAUGUUAUCACGGGAGACACACGGCGGGUGCUAACGUCCGUCGUGAAGAGGGAAACAACCCAGACCGCCAGCUAAGGUCCCAAAGUCAUGGUUAAGUGGGAAACGAUGUGGGAAGGCCCAGACAGCCAGGAUGUUGGCUUAGAAGCAGCCAUCAUUUAAAGAAAGCGUAAUAGCUCACUGGUCGAGUCGGCCUGCGCGGAAGAUGUAACGGGGCUAAACCAUGCACCGAAGCUGCGGCAGCGACGCUUAUGCGUUGUUGGGUAGGGGAGCGUUCUGUAAGCCGUUGAAGGUGGCCUGUGAGGGUUGCUGGAGGUAUCAGAAGUGCGAAUGCUGACAUAAGUAACGAUAAAGCGGGUGAAAAGCCCGCUCGCCGGAAGACCAAGGGUUCCUGUCCAACGUUAAUCGGGGCAGGGUGAGUCGACCCCUAAGGCGAGGCCGAAAGGCGUAGUCGAUGGGAAACAGGUUAAUAUUCCUGUACUCGGUGUUACUGCGAAGGGGGGACGGAGAAGGCUAUGUUGGCCGGGCGACGGUUGUCCCGGUUUAAGCAUGUAGGCGGGUGUUCCAGGUAAAUCCGGAACGCUGUUAACGCUGAGGUGUGAUGACGAGGCACUACGGUGCUGAAGCAACAAAUGCCCUGCUUCCAGGAAAAGCCUCUAAGCAUCAGGUAACAUCAAAUCGUACCCCAAACCGACACAGGUGGUCAGGUAGAGAAUACCAAGGCGCUUGAGAGAACUCGGGUGAAGGAACUAGGCAAAAUGGUGCCGUAACUUCGGGAGAAGGCACGCUGAUGGUAGGUGAAGUGAUUUACUCAUGGAGCUGAAAUCAGUCGAAGAUACCAGCUGGCUGCAACUGUUUAUUAAAAACACAGCACUGUGCAAACACGAAAGUGGACGUAUACGGUGUGACGCCUGCCCGGUGCCGGAAGGUUAAUUGAUGGGGUUAUCCUCGCGGAGAAGCUC